rnacentral:rRNA from 1 species
UACGUAGGGGGCUAGCGUUGUUCGGAAUUACUGGGCGUAAAGCGCACGUAGGCGGCUUUGUAAGUCUGAGGUGAAAGCUCGGAGCUUAACUCCGGAAUUGCCUUUGAGACUGCAUCGCUUGAAUCCAGGAGAGGAGAGUGGAAUUCCGAGUGUAGAGGUGAAAUUCGUAGAUAUUCGGAAGAACACCAGUGGCGAAGGCGGCUCACUGGACUAGUAUUGACGCUGAGAUGCGAAAGCGUGGGGAGCAAACAGG